rnacentral:rRNA from 1 species
UACGAAGGUCCCAAGCGUUGUUCGGAAUCACUGGGCGUAAAGGGAGCGUAGGCUGCGCGGUAAGUCAGAUGUGAAAUCCCGGGGCUCAACCUCGGAACUGCAUCCGAUACUGCCGUGCUUGAGGGUUGGAGAGGUAGCUGGAAUUCUCGGUGUAGCAGUGAAAUGCGUGGAUAUCGAGAGGAACACUCGUGGCGAAGGCGAGCUACUGGACAACAUCUGACGCUGAGGCUCGAAGGCCAGGGGAGCAAAAGAG